rnacentral:rRNA from 1 species
CAAGGAGGGAGCUGCCUAAGGCAAAAUCAAUGACUGGGGUGAAGUCGUAACAAGGUAGCCGUAUCGGAAGGUGCGGCUGGAUCACCUCCUUUCU